AAAGCGGUGGAUGAUGUGGUUUAAUUCGAUGCAACGCGAAAACCUUACCACCUUGACAUGUACGGAAUCCUUAGAGAUAGAGGAGUGCUCGAAAGAGAGCCGUAACACAGGUGCUGCAUGGCUGUCGUCAGCUCGUGUCGUGAGAUGUUGGGUUAAGUCCCGCAACGAGCGCAACCCUUGUCAUUAGUUGCUACAUUCAGUUGGGCACUCUAAUGAGACUGCCGGUGACAAACCGGAGGAAGGUGGGGAUGACGUCAAGUCCUCAUGGCCCUUAUAGGUGGGGCUACACACGUCAUACAAUGGAUGGUACAAAGGGUCGCCAACCCGCGAGGGGGAGCCAAUCCCAUAAAGCCAUUCGUAGUCCGGAUCGCAGUCUGCAACUCGACUGCGUGAAGUCGGAAUCGCUAGUAAUCGUGGAUCAGAAUGUCACGGUGAAUACGUUCCCGGGUCUU
rnacentral:rRNA from 1 species